CUUCGGAGCCUCGCUUCAUUUCGCCCAACACUAGCUUGAAACUCUUCUCUGAACAGAUCAAACUUCACUCUGUGAUCCUCGAAUAUGUUUUUUGAAGAGCUCCAGAUGCAAAAAGGUCAACAGUAAACCGGAAAAAGAAGAAAAGGCGAAGUUAGCGGGAAAAGGUGGAACAGCUGAGAAGGUUGUUGAAACAGCGGCUAACUGCUGCUAAUACCGAGAUAUUUGAGUUGGUAGAAACAAACACAUCACAGAGCAGCAAGAAGAAACGAGUCAACGUGCUGAAGACUGUUUUCAAGCUUGACGUUCGCUGAUCCAGAGCAGAUGGUGGAACCAUACAUCUGUUAGGAAACUUUUAUCAGCUGAUUGCAGCAGGUACAUUAGGAAAAUGUGCAUGCCAUGUGAUCUCGGAUCAGGGUUGGUGUCUCCUGCUUUAAGACAUCUGUCCCAGCACAGAGACAUUUUGGUGUUGUCUCACACUUGUGAUUGGUCAGCCUGGGCAGCAGAGCAGCAGCAGGUGAUUAAAUCGGCCUGUUUUUAGUCUUUUCACCACUUGGCCGUUGACGCUCUCUUUCUUUUGUGUGUUUUAAAAUCUUUCUACAAAUAUGUCUGAAGUCCAGCAGCUGAGGGACAAG